GUCACCGGAGAAACUACAACCAUGUCGUUCUCCUACUAGCCUCAACCUACUGCUUCCAUCUGUCAUCACAAAUUCCAUAAAAAUAGUUGAUGUGAGAAACGACUCUCCGGCUUUCUCAUUCUCUAACUCUGCCAUACGGCUGCCGUCCGGCCUCAGCCGCAAGAGCGAGGAGGGCGUGGAACUCGCCGGGCCGGUGGAGGCAGGGUUCGAAGCGGCCAGCACACGGCCGGUUGCCCGGUUGGUCGAGGUCCGGUUGCCGUCGGACGAGGGCGUCUCUUCCAUCUCAAUACAGUACUAGACGAUGAGGAGGAGAUGCUAUGCAGUAGAACAGCAGCGUCAAGGUUUAGCACCCCGGCGGCCCUCGCGGCUCCAAAUGGAUGGUCUACGGCGAUGCUGUGUAAGACCACGCGGCCAGCAGCUACGACGGUUCUGGCGCUCCUGCUAGAGCCACCCCAUGGCGACGAGCACAUACAAGGGCCAGCGGCGUGCCCACCGGCGGUAGUCGUGGUCCACAACGAAGAGCCUGUGGACAAGGACGCUGACGAUGUGGGGCAAGGGCCUCCAGCAUGGCUGCUUCAACGGCGGCGAGCGACAGGCCGGCGCCACACCUAUAGCCAGGCCAGGCCAGGCUAGAGGGCUAUAAUAACGCCACCUACCAUGAGCUCAGGCUCUCAGCAGCUCCACCUUGUUUGCAUCCAUUCCGGAGAAAGUUUAGAUAGAGCUGCUAUAUUUUGCUUUAGUUUCCGCUGGUUAUUUAGAUGAUUUUAAUGGGAUAUGUGGAACAGAUUUUUUUUGAGGAAUUGUGAAACAAAUAGCUGCUAAUGAACAUAUUAACUUGUUUGAUGUUUUCAGGUUAAGAGAAAUUCAACUGCGAACGAGAUGAGAAGGGUUACGAAUACUUGCAAAAGCAGAGCUCAUUGCAUCAGGCAAUCUUCUGGAAGACUAUUAUGAUUACAAUGAAGAAACUGACGACGACGACGACGACGAUGAUGACUACAAAUCCCCGCCUUCUAGCCCGAAAGGCCCGCUUAUCAUUGCAUGACAAUGAUUUGAUAUAGAUGUCCAUACUUAUAUUGUGUGGGGAUAUCUUUUUGAUAUCAUUUCAAAUAUUACCAUAGAGGAGUGCAACUGUUUCAUUCAUUAUAA